AUUUUAUAUGCAGGUAUGGUGCAUAAAUAGGAAUGGUUGCAAUUUGAUACUCAGACUAAAUAUGAUAUUGUUUCGUAUAUCAUUAUCAAUUAAUGAGAGGUUACUGUUUUGGAAUAGCGACGGCCUGCGAAAACAAUGAGUUACUGAGCUCAAAAAUAAUUCCGUGUGUCUAUUUCAUGAUUGUUUCUGAUAUUUACUGUAUUUUUAAGACAUUGAGUAUUUACACUAUAUAACCAGGAUGUAAAUGCACUAUUGUAUCUUUCUUUAAACUUAUAUCAUCUAAAGUCCGCAUGAAUUUGUCUGAAUCUUGACAUAAAACAUUUUCAUAAAUAAGAAAUACUCUUCGCUCUGGCUCAAACCAACUCUGGAGAAAAAUGCGACAAAACUGUCUUUAGUAAAACUCAACUCCCUAGCACAUUGAACUGUUACGUAAAACGUAUACAUAUUGACGUUACCCGUAAAACAUGAAGACCUCAAACUACCAAUAUGUCUGAAGCCUGGCAAUACGAGGAACCGUUCGCCGUCACGAACGUGCAUAUGCUUGAUGCUGACGUACUAUGUGAUGUCACUAUCUUGGCGGGAAAAGAAAAACAGGAAGUGAGGUGUCACCGAUUCAUGCUGGCCAGCCGCUCACCGGUGUUCUAUACGAUGUUUUGUGGCUCACUUCCGGAAGCCAGCGUUGUGGAAAUACCUGAUGUGGAAGCAGACGUCUUCAGAACGAUCGUCAGGUUUAUGUAUACGGGAGAAAUACAGAUAAUGCCUGAUUCUGUUAUGGCCACGAUGUACGCGGCCAAAAAAUACGAUAUCCAACCCUUAACAAACCGCUGCAAGACAUUUCUUGAAAAGGAAAUUGCAGUCGAGAAUGUCUGUAUCAUCCUCGACCAAGCUUCGAAGUUCGAGGAAAAAGAAUUGAUUCAACAAUGUCUGUCCUUUGUAUCCAAAAACGCUGAUGGAGUAUUUCAAAGUGACGGGUUUUUGAGCAUGUCCUCUGAAAUCAUGCGGUAUGUACUUGAGCAAGAAAAAUCAACACCAAAACUACCACCGGAAGAGGUUUACGCUUCUUGUAAGAAAUGGGCAGAACAAUGUUGCUCUAAAUCCGGGAAUGAGAUGUCUGACCAGGCCCUAAGACAACAAUUUGGAGACCUAAUACUGCUGGUUGAUUUUCCUGGAAUGUCGUUUGAAUCAUUUAUCCAACUAGUCGUAAAAGAAAAUAUUUUGUCCGACAGUGAGAAGGUCACUUUUAUGAAAGAACUUGGCGAUCGAAGGAAGAAUGUUAAAUCUUUCAGUGUUAACAGAUUUUUUAAUAUUUCAAGCGGUUGGGGUCACACUGGAAAACAAAAUGGAAUAAGCUUCAGGACGUCAAAAGAUGUGGUUCUUCAUAGUGUAGCCCUCUAUCUGCCUUGUCAAACUGGUAGUUUGUCUGGUUCGUUGGAAAUUCUGGAGGACCAGACAGUCGUGUUGACACAGAAUGUUAAUUUGUGCUAUCAAACCGACACGAGGUAUGAAUACAUACAUUUGGACAGGAAAAUUAAUAUUCGCCAAGGAGUGAUCUAUUCCGUGCGACAGCGACUGAGAAAGGGAAGCUCAUAUUACGGUUUCAAUGAAAAUGGUAAACAAAGUGUUAAUGGUGUAGAAAUAGAAUUCAUGGACUUAAUUGCAGGUAGAUCCGAUAAUAGCACAUCUUUAACAAGCGGUCAAGUACAUGGUCUAAUGCUUGAAGGUUAAAACGUUUAGCAAUGGGUACAGGCAAAAUGCGUGACCUGGAGCUAGCACAGAGGAAGCAUAUAUAUAUACACCGAUUUUAUUGACGUAUCUUCCAAAUAUGCAAUUCAAUUCGUUACAUCGUUUAAAGAGGUUCUGUUAUGAAUAGUUAGUUUUUAAACUACGAUUGAAGAAAGAUCAGAUGACAUGUAUAUAUCUAAACUUUUGUAUGUGUAUUGUGUUUCAUUUCGUUUUGAUUCAAGUUAAUUUAAUUUACUUAUUUUCUAUACAUGUAUAGAGAGAACAUUACUGGUACAUAUUAGAGCGUUCAGCCUGAAUAAUAUAGUAAAACUAAUCUAAGUGCUAAUUUUAUAUUGGGUGGGAUAAAGUUGGUGUGAACUCUCUUACCUGAAUCAGAAGAAUUGCGCUUUUAAAAAUAUUACAUGAUUGCAAAGAUAUAUAUUAAAUAAAACUUUUCAGUUUGAUGUUAAGAACUUGGGUAUUAUUUUAGGCUGAACAUUUACAAAGUUGUCAAUGUUGAAGUCCUGCACACGAGUAUAUUUAAAAAUUUAGUAUUUCCAUAAGGCUCCUAAUAGUUUUGUGUUGUAAAGCUUGUCCCCUGGAGUUACCGAUAUAUGUUAAUAUAACUAUAAAAUUAUAAAAAAAUGUUGUAGUAUAAAUCAUGAAACUAUAUGUCCAAAAAAUAGAUUAAUCUUUUGAUAUUUUUAUAAACGUAUGUUCAAUAUGUUUUGUACCCGUUUUACCACGUUUAUAAACAAGGGUGAAAAACAGUUAAUGCUUAAGGUAGCGAAAAGUGUGAGAUUCCGAUCAUGAAGAUGGAGAAUUGAGUGAGGCCGUGAAUGAGAAAAGUGUGAGGUUAUGACAAGGUGGGGAUGAGAAAAAGUGUGAGAUUGAGACAAAUGAGAGUUUGUGGCACAUGUAAGGUUGAGACAAGUGUGAUGUUAUGACAAGUGUGAGUUGUGAGUUAAAGCAAGUGAGGAGUUGUGACAAGUUUAAGGUUGUGACAAGUGUAAACAUGAGACAAGUCUGAGGUUGAAACGCAUGUAAGGUUUAGACAAAUGUGAUGUUAUGACAAGUGUGAGUUGUAAGUUUGAACAAGUAAUGUGUUGUGACAAAUUCGAGAUUGAAACAAUAGUGAAAACGAGAGAAAAGGGUGGUCGAGAUAUACUAGUAUGUCAUGCUCGAAAGGGGCUAGAAAACUAGAUGGUCUAACACUCGGCAAAUAAGAAAAAAGGCCAGAAUUGUUAAUGCGAGCUAGUAGGAGGCCGAUAAUACAUCCCUUUACAUGGUUAAAAUAAUAAACGCAACAAUGUACCAACCCUAUCGUUAAACUUACAGGGGAAAAAAGUUGUAGACACCCCUAGUAAAUUUUUAAAAUUGGAAAAAAAAAACGCAAAAGCUGUGAAAAAUGCAUACAUGCGACACAUUAGUUAGAUAUAAUACGUUGUACACAACGAUGUAAGUGUAACGUGCGACGUCAAAGAAACACCAACAGAUCCCCUCAGGGAAAAGCAUGCUCGACCCUGAAGGGGUUCACUGGUCUUUAUAUACACUAACUUCUCUAUUCUCACAUAGCCCGGGCUUUGCUAGUUUGCAUAUUACCUACCAAGUUUACAUCCGGUAUGAACGUAUUUCCGUUUUAUACGGAAUAUUAUUAUGAACGCACCUCCGUCGCUGUAGACCUCCGCCAUCUACAGUGGACCGUUACACUUCAACGAGCUUUCUCUGAAAGAUUGUUGAA